rnacentral:rRNA from 1 species
AUUGAACGCUGGCGGCAGGCUUAACACAUGCAAGUCGAACGAGUGGCGGACGGGUGAGUAAUGCUUGGGAAUCUGGCUUAUGGAGGGGGAUAACGACGGGAAACUGUCGCUAAUACCGCGUACCAUAGGAUGAGCCCAAGUGGGAUUAGGUAGUUGGUGGGGUAAUGGCCUACCAAGCCGACGAUCCCUAGCUGGUCUGAGAGGAUGACCAGCCACAACGGGAAGGGGAAACGGCCCAGACUCCUACGGGAGGCAGCAGGGGGGAAAUUUCCGCAAUGGAGGAAAGUCUGACGGAGCAAAGCCGCGGGAGAGAGGACGGCCUUCGGGGUGUAAAGCUAGUUAAGCGGGACGACGGUACCGGAAUAGAAAGCCACGGCUAACUACGUGCCAGCAGCCGCGGUAAUAC